CCAUGAGCUUUGUUUUCAAGCCUGGAAAUAGAAAUUAAAGAGCAGCAGUCAUUACGUGGAAUAUAAACACCGUCGACAUAGAAAUAAACUGUUUUUUUUUUAUUAUAUCCAUCUAAUAAUUAUAACUUCCAAAAAAUCACAAAAUAUUAACCUGCCAGGAUAUCUUACUUGAUGCAUUCUAUAUAUAUUUGUCACUAGUUCACAUACUCACCUUGCUAGCAAUGUUGUUUGACAGCCAGUCCAGCCCCUCAUAAAGGCCCUCUCCAGAUGUUGCACACGUGCUCUGGAUGUACCUGAGAUUGACCACCAUCAUAUCAGCAAAAGUUCAAGUAAAUAGUUUUCCAUCAUUAACACAACUUGUAAUCAUAUUCCAAAUAUUUGCACAAGUUUCAAAAUAAAGUAAUUUAAGAUUGCUGUUCAGCCGAGUCUAGUAGUCUUAACUUUGCCAAAUCCUACAGUUUCAGCAAAAGAAAAAAUGGUGAAUUCCCCAGUUAAGAAAACAAAACAGAGGCAAAUGUCCACUCUUUAACAAAAGAAAAUAGAUGGAUGUAUAGAGAAAACUGGAAAUUUAAAAAAUUCUUUUUAUAGUCAUUCAGGCCCAUUGACAUCUAGCACUAGUUGUCAUACUAUU
rnacentral:misc_RNA from 1 species